AGAACGAACGCUGGCGGCAGGCUUAACACAUGCAAGUCGAACGCUCGUGAGCGAUCACGGGAGUGGCAGACGGGUGAGUAACGCGUGGGAACAUACCCUUUGGUUCGGGAUAACUCAGGGAAACUUGAGCUAAUACCGGAUACGCCCCUGGAUGAAAGUCUUUGGGGGAAAGAUUGAUUGCCGGAGGAUUGGCCCGCGUUCGAUUAGCUUGUUGGUGAGGUAACGGCUCACCAAGGCGACGAUCGAUAGCUGGUCUGAGAGGAUGAUCAGCCACAUUGGGACUGAGACACGGCCCAAACUCCUACGGGAGGCAGCAGUGGGGAAUAUUGGACAAUGGGCGCAAGCCUGAUCCAGCCAUGCCGCGUGAGUGAUGACGGCCUUAGGGUGUAAACCUCUUUCAGCAGGGACGAAGCGAGAGUGACGGUACCUGCAGAAGAAGGACCGGCCAACUACGCGCCAGCAGCCGCGGU
rnacentral:rRNA from 1 species